CUCUGCUCCGCGAUGUUUUGUUAGAUUUGGUGGAGAAACCAAGUCUGACCACCAGAUGUCACUAAUGCGCACUGUGUUAAAAAAGUUAUAAAAAAUAUU